UGGUCAUCUCCAAGCCAGCUGGGAGGAGACCUUUUUCCAAAGUCACUCACACAGCCUCAGGUGUUUACAGGCCUCAGGUCCUUGCUGGCUGUUGGCCAGAGGCCUCAGUUCCUUGCCACAAGGGCCUCCCCAUAGGUUACUCACAACAUAACAGUUUGCAGCCCCCAGAACAAGGACCCCAGAGACAGAGUGAGAGAGGGCAAGAGAAGGCAAGAUGCAAGUCACACUCUUUUUGUAACCUAAUCCCAUCACAUUUCCUGAAUUCUGCUCAUUAGAAAGAAGUCACUAGAUUCAGCCCACAUUCAAGAUGAGAAAUACCAGAAGGCAGAGAACACUGAGGCUGUUUUAGAGGCUGUCAACCCCAGGGAGACAGACAGCAAAUAAGUAAGCAAAUAAAUAAAAAUGGAAGGUGAUAAUAAGUGCAAUGAAAAGAAAUGAAGCAGAGUAAAGAAUCAAGAGUAGCAGUUGAGGGGAUGCUUGGAUGUUUUCACACCACUCUGACACAUGGAUGGAAGGUUAGAAGACAACAAAGGAAUGGGCUGGGAAGGACUCCAAAAGCAGAAUCAGAGAUUAUAUCAUUCCUUGGAAAUGGAGAAAAGGAUCAAAAAAGCUGAAUAAAAGGCAAACAUGGAGGAACAGAGUUUGGAGCAAUACCCUGACUUACAUUCAGUACUGUUAAUGGCUCCAGCAUCUUGAAACAAACCAAUUUUGGAUUUUCAGCCGCUGUCCAAGAUGACGUGAACUCCAGGCUAUUGACUUUCCUCUACCUUCAAUGGAAAUUGUCAUGGAGAAUUAAGUUUUUGACAAAUCUACAGCCUAUGUGCAGGGCUUCUUCCUGGGUGUAACAAUAAGGAAUUUGGAAACUGUCUCUAGUUUUGGCCUGGAG
rnacentral:lncRNA from 10 species